UUGAAAGUUGCAGGGCCUCGCUUUGGUGUGGUUUUUCCAGACCUUGAGCAGGCGGGUGUGUACAUGUGAGAGUGUGUGUGUGUGUGUAUCGUAAUCUGUGUGUGUCUCCUGGCUGGCCUUUCUAUUUGCUGCGUAACACCGAGCUUGACUCCCACGGCGGCUCUGAGAUCAGAGGAAAGCUCUGGGUGGCAGAACGCUGGUGUGCAGCUGCAGCUACACACAGGAAGAGGAGAACGCCAUCCCACACACUGCGCUCAGCUCAUGGAGGAGGCGGGAAGUGCUUUACAGUGCGCACUGGCUCUCGUGGCAUGCUUCAGCUCAGCCAAGCUCGAACCAAUCAAACUGGGAGUGUCCUCAUGGACGGAACUACUGUCCGAGCUGCUGUUACAGAGGAUUAACCAAUGCCUUCUGACCUAUCAGAAAUGACAAUUCAACCGUGCUGUGGUAUAAAAGCAUUUUAGCUCAUUCUGUAAAUAUAUCACACUGCACUUAUUGGGGACCUUCUUGUCAUGAGAAUUUGCUGUCAAUAGGAGAAGCAUUUCCAGUCUCAGGAUCAUCUGAUUCAAGCACAUUUG